UGGAAGGCAUUAAACUUUGGUGAAAAUCAUGAAAAACGCUGGCGCUGGCAACUUUUUUUUAAAACGCUGGUGGUGAAAGAGUUCAUUUGGCGAAGAAGAAAACUUUUAGCUAAGAUAGCUUCUGUCGUUUUGGUACGGGUGUGGCCAAACAUCCAAACGCUUUGCUAUGGCAUGUCUUUAUUCUGGCCACACUGAACCCAGUUGCACCUGUCCACGCACACCUAUUGAUUCAGCUAAAUAAUCAGCCGCAAGAUUGAUCUGUUUGCAACUAGUAUGCAAAUCACACAUAAUAAGACACCGAGAGAUAAAUCCAGCAAUCACCGUCUGAUCAUACAGAACCGAGGUGAAAAUCUGUAAAACUAAGCGGAGAGUGAGAAAUUAAAUCACGCCUGGACGCAUCAGCAAAUCUGACUGCAAUUAAUGGUGUGGAUGAAUGCAGUCACCUCUAUCUCAUAUGACCAAGGUCCUCUGGGUCAUUUUCAUUAACCACUAUAAUUAUUUCUAGAAAUCUAAUUAGCAAAGAGGGAUUUUGCACAUUUUAUUGAAAAAGACAAAGCAAUGUCAAUUCACGGAUAUUUGAGCGGCCUUCCGUAGAUGGCAGCCAGAGUGGGCGGGGCCAAAUCGACUGUGUUUGUGUUGUAAUACCUGUCUCUCUGUUUUCAGUGUUUUCUCGAGCAUCUGUUUGUCUUCUCCUCCUGGUAGGGAAUAUUCAGAGUUGUGUGUAUGGAACUCUGAAGCGGAAUGCUUCUGAAGUGCUGUCGUCUGUGUUGGAUGCAGACUGAAGAAAAUUUUCCUGGACGCCAUUUUGUGAAACUUUCGUAAAUAUCACAAAAAAUGCUGGCGGGCAACUUUUCAAAAAAAGGCUGAAGGUGAAUGAGCUAAGGCACAAUAUGUUGGAUUGUCACCACUAGAGGUCGCUAUUUCACAAUGACAAAGGCGAAGCUUACAGUUCUGAAGGAGAAUGGAGCGAUCGUAGAUGUUGUUUUCACCAUCCAGAGAUGUAUGGAAUUUGCUAAUAAUAUUCAUGGAUGAGUUUCUACAACCAAAAAUGCAGGAUAGCAAGGGAGACAAGGGAUGAGCAUUUAAAAUAGAAAUGUUCUGGAUUUACAAAUCCUUGGGAACGUUUGGAAUAAUAAAUCCGUGACGGCACACCGGUUAUCUGCUUCACAGCAGAUGUACGGGCCCGUGGACACUUGAUGACCACAUGAAAGAGAAGCCGGCUUCAGAAGUGUGUACUGCUGUAACCACUGACGAACGACUUCAAAGACGCCGCUACACAACAUGACAGGCGACGGACGCCCGAUCCUUUGAGACCAAGAGAAAAAUUUACUGUCUAUUUCGAUACUAUUCUUUUUUUAUCAUCAGAGAUUUCCUUCUACUGUACAUCUACUAGCGAGGUCUGAUGUGUUUAUACCAAAGUCGAUUUUUUUAUGCCAUUUAGGCAGCUGUGAAUUUCAAACACUUUGAUUUCUGAGGAGUUCUAAAGGAACGCCGACCAUAAGCCCCGAAGGUAGAAGUUGUUUAUUCGCUCUCACAUAUAUAUUAAUCUAAUCAAUUUACAGCCAGCGCCGAAUCCAGAUCGGCUGGACGGAGAGACUGUAUUUUUCCCUUAAAAAUAAAACGAAAGGGAUCAGACGGCUAACAGCUAAGCUAUUUAAAUUCAACACUGUGCAUGGUGGAGAUCAGAUUGAUUGUGCAUUGUUGGGUUUAUAAAGUCUUUUCAAGGACGGUGGAAAACUAGAUAAUCUAUGGCGAAUGGAACAAAAGUUGAGAUUUUUAUUAUCUACCCAUUGGAGCUGCUUUCUUGCAUCCAUUUCUGAAAAAAAAUCAAUUGCAUGCGUAGUCAUCUCUGACUUUCAUCAGAAGAAAAGACUCUCCUGUUGCUUUGAGACGCAGACUUUUUUUGGCAACGUCACACAAGUUUGAAAACAAGUCAAAGAGCUGCAUGGGUACACGUGUACGUAUUUGUGUGUGUAUGGAGGAUGCGCAUAUUUGUAGUGUCAUCUCGCCAUCAAAUAUGACUUAUUAAAAUGAAAUUACUUAGCUCUCUGACCCAUGGCAGAUAGCACAAGCUGCAAUUUGUCUAACAGUUGAGCUGUGAACAAAAUCUGAUUGGCAAUAAUUUAGCUUUACAGUUGCUAUACCCCGUGCUGCCCCAUCCCCCAGAGCAGCCGUCGUCUGUGCCAUCCCAAUGUGUGUGUGUGUGUUGUGCUCACAUGCAGGAGAAACAUGGCAGAUAGGAGCUGGAGGUCACUGAGCCAAGCUGCGUGUGAUGAUGGCAAGUCUCCCGGGGCUGAUGGGAAAUGUAAAUGCUGACGGCUCUUCUCUGAUGAUGGUUGGGAGAAGAGGAGAAGAGGAAGGUGGUGAUGAAGGAUGUUUGUGUGUGUUGGGAUAGGGAUGGGGGGAUUGCUCAGUGAGGCACAACAAUUCCGCAGGGCUGUGUUUUCACUGUGUCGACAGCCACCUGCCAUCCCAGCUCUAUUUCUCUCUCUCUCUCGCUUCUUACUUCUUACUUUUAGAUUGCUGUGUGUUUCAUUUAUAAAGAGCCUCUGUUCUAGGAGUGCCUGUGGUUUGUAGGAAAGUGCUAACAUUGUCUUGUCUAGUUUGUAACAAACGUACAUUUCAGAGACCCACUUUAUUAGA